rnacentral:rRNA from 1 species
AGUGAACGCUGGCGGUAGGCUUAACACAUGCAAGUCGAACGGCAGCACAGUAAGAGCUUGCUCUUACGGGUGGCGAGUGGCGGACGGGUGAGGAAUACAUCGAAAUCUACUUUUUCGUGGGGGAUAACGUAGGGAAACUUACGCUAAUACCGCAUACGACCUACGGGUGAAAGCAGGGGAUCUUCGGACCUUGCGCGAUUGAAUGAGCCGAUGUCGGAUUAGCUAGUUGGCGGGGUAAAGGCCCACCAAGGCGACGAUCCGUAGCUGGUCUGAGAGGAUGAUCAGCCACACUGGAACUGAGACACGGUCCAGACUCCUACGGGAGGCAGCAGUGGGGAAUAUUGGACAAUGGGCGCAAGCCUGAUCCAGCCAUACCGCGUGGGUGAAGAAGGCCUUCGGGUUGUAAAGCCCUUUUGUUGGGAAAGAAAGGCAGCAGGUUAAUACCCCGCUGUUCUGACGGUACCCAAAGAAUAAGCACCGGCUAACUUCGUG